AGCAGCCGCGGUAAUUCCAGCUCCAAUAGCGUAUAUUAAAGUUGUUGCAGUUAAAAAGCUCGUAGUUGAAUUUCGGGGUUAGUAGAUUGGUCAUGCCUCUGGUAUGCACUGGUCUUACUGAUUCCUCCUUCCUGAUGAACCGUAAUGCCAUUAAUUUGGUGUUGCGGGGAAACUGGACUGUUACUUUGAAAAAAUUAGAGUGUUUAAAGCAGGCUAACGCUUGAAUACAUUAGCAUGGAAUAAUGAAAUAGGACGUUCGAUCUUAUUUUGUUGGUUUCUAGGAUUGACGUAAUGAUUAAUAGGGAUAGUUGGGGGCAUUAGUAUUCAAUUGUCAGAGGUGAAAUUCUUGGAUUUAUUGAAGACUAACUACUGCGAAAGCAUUUGCCAAGGAUGUUUUCAUUAAUCAAGAACGAAAGUUAGGGGAUCGAAGACGAUCAGAUACCGUCGUAGUCUUAACCAUAAACUAUGCCGACUAGGGAUCGGAUGAUGUUAAUUUUUUAAUGACUCAUUCGGCGCCUUA
rnacentral:rRNA from 1 species